GUCGACGUCACUGGCCUUCUAGCCAUCGCCGAUCCACUUUUAAUUUUCCAUUUGUUUUGUCUUUGUCUUACACACCUGGUUUCAAUUCCCCAAUUACUUGUUCAUUAUUUAAGCCUCUGUUCCCCUAUGUUUUUUGCUAUACAAAGACACUUUACAUGGGCAAAUAAGACAAUGAAACAUGGAAGAUAUGCAACCUUGGUUAACGCAGCAAACAAGCUGGUACAUAGGUUCCACAAGGUAGGAGUGUACCCCCUGCUACUCCUCAGCAAAAGGAAGGAUAACAUUUUGUCGUCAACUGCACUGUGUCAGACCUCAAUGGCAGCAAUCCAAAGGUUGUAUGAGGCAAUUGUGAAAGUGGCAAUCAACACCCAUGCCCCCACACUACAACCCUCCAACCCUCCUCCUGUUGCUGCCUAAGAACUCUCUGAUACAGUUGCUCCCCAGGAGACCAGCUACACCCCCAUCCUCACCCAGGUUGAACCCCCGAUAUCCCCCACCACCCAGGAGACCAGCUACACCCCCAUCCUCACCCAGGUUGAACCCCCGAUAUCCCCCACCACCUAGGAGACCAGCUACACCCCCAUCCUCAACCAGGUUGAACCCCCAAUAACCCCCACCACCCAGGAGACCAGCUACACCCCCAUCCUCAACCAGGUUGAACCCCCGAUAUCCCCCUCCACCCAGGAGACCAGCUACACCCCCAUCCUCAACCAGGUUGAACCCCCAAUAAUCCCCCACCACCCAGGAGACCAGCUACACCCCCAUCCUCAACCAGGUUGAACCCCGAUAUCCCCACCACCCAGGAGACCAGCUACACCCCCAUCCCCAACCAGGUUAAACCCCCGAUAUCCCCCACUGCCCAGAAGACCAGCUACACCCAAACCAAGCCAAAGAAGACGGGGAGAAAGUCCUGUCACCCUGUCACCGUCAAAAAACCCUCCAACUCGCUGAGCAUGACACAGUCAAUCCCAUCCAACCCCAUCCAACACCGACCAAGGAAGAGGAAAUAUGACUACAUGCAAAAACAUAAAUCAGUAUCUAACUUAUAUUGUUUAUUCAUAAAUGUUAAUGAUGUCAAUAACUUCAUUUAUGUUUUUAAUAAAUUA